GACGAACGCUGGCGGCGUGCUUAACACAUGCAAGUCGAGCGGUAAGGCCCUUUCGGGGGUACACGAGCGGCGAACGGGUGAGUAACACGUGGGUGACCUGCCCUCAGCUCUGGGAUAAGCCUGGGAAACUGGGUCUAAUACUGGAUAUGACUCCACGGUGCAUGUCGUGGGGUGGAAAGCCUUGUGCGGCUGAGGAUGGGCCCGCGGCCUAUCAGCUUGUUGGUGGGGUGAUGGCCUACCAAGGCGACGACGGGUAGCCGGCCUGAGAGGGCGACCGGCCACACUGGGACUGAGACACGGCCCAGACUCCUACGGGAGGCAGCAGUGGGGAAUCUUGCGCAAUGGGCGAAAGCCCGACGCAGCGACGCCGCGUGAGGGAUGACGGCCU
rnacentral:rRNA from 1 species